UUAGAGUGGUAUUUAGACCGAUUGUUGGUAGUGUUCUUUAUAAAAACGAUAAAGAACACUACCAACGACCGGUCUAAAUGCCACUUAUC
rnacentral:pre_miRNA from 1 species